CGUUGAAUACGUUCCCGGGUCUUGUACACACCGCCCGUCACGUCAUGAAAGUCAGGGGGCGCCCGAAGUGCUUAUUUACUAAGCCCUAAGGCGAAUCUGGUAAUUGGGACG
rnacentral:rRNA from 1 species